rfam:Pteropus alecto contig167094, whole genome shotgun sequence.
GGUUCCAUAGUGUAGUGGUUAGCACAUCUGCUUUACACUCAGAAGGUCCUGUGUUCGCGCCCCAGUGGAACCA